AUGGCUCGUCUGUAUCUUGAUGAUUUUGAAAGUGAAAGCAAGAUUGAAGAUCUUAGCGUCCAACUUGACAACUUCCUCGAAAAUGUUCGUGAUGAUACAAGACUCUCCAAUUUAAAAGGGGUUAGUGAUCUUUGCAGAAAACUAGUUGAAACAAAGAAGUAUACUAGUUUUCCUCUAGUGUUUCUUUUGGUGAAGCUAGCAUUGAUUUUGCCAGUUGCAACGGCGACAGUUGAGAGAGCAUUUUCUGCAAUGAAAUAUAUCAAGUCUGAUUUGCGUAAUAGAAUAGGUGAUGAUUUCUUGUAUCAUUGUCUCAUUACUUAUGUUGAAAAUGAUGUAUUUCACUCUAUUAGUACUGAUGCUAUUAUGCAUACAUAUCAAAGUAUGCAUGAUCGCGGAGAGCUGCUACCAUAA
rnacentral:rRNA from 1 species